rnacentral:rRNA from 1 species
CCCUGCCAUUUGUACACACCGCCCGUCGCUCCUACCGAUUGGAUGUGCUGGUGAAGCGUCAGGAUCGGCGGCUAUGGUUGGGUUUCCGCCAUGGCUGCUGAGAAUCUCGUUGAACCCUCCCAUCUAGAGGAAGG